UGGUUCAGUUGGUUAAAGCACCUGUCUCGUAAACAGGAGACCCUGGGUCUGAAUCUCAG
rnacentral:tRNA from 1 species